rnacentral:rRNA from 1 species
CGCCCGCGCGCGCGGCGGGCUACGGGAGGCAGCAGUGGGGAAUAUUGCACAAUGGGCGCAAGCCUGAUGCAGCCAUGCCGCGUGUAUGAAGAAGGCCUUCGGGUUGUAAAGUACUUUCAGCGGGGAGGAAGGCGUUGUGGUUAAUAACCGCAGCGAUUGACGUUACCCGCAGAAGAAGCACCGGCUAACUCCGUGCCAGCAGCCGCGGUAAUA